rnacentral:lncRNA from 1 species
AUGACAUGCAGUGCGGUCAAGACCAGUCAUGCUUUGACCGAACCCAGAGACAGCUUAAACCUACUCUCUGCCGUGUGUGUGUGUGUGUGUGUGUGUGUGUGUGUGUGUGUGUGUGUGGAUGUGUGCGAGUACGGAUGUGCGUGUGCGUGUGCGUGUGCAGCUCUCGCCGUCUCGCCCUCCAGCCUGCAGGGCGGCACAAUUCGCUGCGCCUCCGGGAGGGUCGCGGCGCUGGUCUCGCGGGGGGACGCGGACGGGACGCGGAGGCCUGAGCGCCCGGUGCCCGCGGGGGGCAGAGGAGGAGGCGCGACCUCCCGGCCUCCCGGCCUCCAGGUCGCUCUGGCGCCGCCCGGGGCGCUCGGCGGGCGUUGCCCUGCGGUGGACGAGGGCCCGGGGAGGCAGCCCCGGCGGAGCCAGCCCGAGGCGCGGCCAGCGAGCUGCGGCCCCGCCGCCCCCCCCGCCCCCCCCCCCCCCCGCCCCCCCCCCCCCCCCGCCCCCCCCCCGCCCCCCCGCCCCCCCCCCCCGCCCCGCCCCGCCCCGCCCCCCGCCCCGCCCCCCCCCCCCCCCGCCCCGCCCCCGCCCCCGCCCCGCCCCCCCCCCCCCGCCCCCCCCCCCCGCCCCUCGCCCCCCCCCGCCCCCCCCCCCGCCCCCCGCCGCCCCCGCCCCCCCCCCCCCCGCCCGCCCCGCCCCCCCCCCCGCCCGCCCCCGCCCCCCCCCCGCCGCCCCCCGCCCCGCCCCCCCCCGCCCGCCCCGCCCCCCCCCCCGCCCCCCCCCCCCCCCCCCGCGCCCCCCGCCCCCCCGGCCCCCCCCCCCCCCCCCCCCGCCCGCCGCCCGCCCCGCCCCGCCCCCCCCCCCCCCCCCGCCCCCCCCCCCGCCCCGCCCCCCCCCGCCCCGCACAGCCCCGCCCCGCCCCGCACAGCCCCGCGUGGGCCCAGCCUCCGCCCAGCCUGCAGCCCGCUGAUGAGCCCGGCCGCCCGCUCCCUCUGGGGGCUCCCCCGGCCCCUCUGCAGGAGCCGCCGCCUCCAGGAAGGACUUCACCGAGCCAGGUCUGGACCCACAGCGGCGACCGGAUCGGGACUGGUUCCGUGA